rnacentral:lncRNA from 1 species
UUGCUCAUAAACAAGAAAGAGACAGGGUCAUCUGGACUCUUCUGAAGGCAAGAGUCAGGGCCUGAAGUCUCCAUGAAUGACCUACCCAAGGCACAAGAAGAGGAUCUCACCUGCUGCCUCUUCUCCAGAGACUCCAUCCUGCCUCGAGCUUCAGCCGAGUGUUGGUGACAGAUUGAGAGAGAAGGAAUAAACCACAACACUAUGUUUUAAAGCAACCCAGUGGAACAGAGGGACCUACCAACGCUGGUGAAGUCCCCUCUGUGAAUGGCACAACAGAAGAUGCUGUCCCAGUUCACCGUUGCUCCUUCCCACUGGCAACAGCCUAAGGAGAAGCUGUGUAUAGGUGAGAUGCUCAGCAUCCAUCAGCUGAAGUGAUUAGCUUUUUGCUCCUUUCUAUUAGAAGAGCCUUACC